UGAGGCACCGUUGGCACUUAUGCGAUCAACAAAAGAGCAGUUUGGCGAACAUUCCCAAAAACUCAUAUAAGUGAUAUAUCAAUUUCCUUUUUUAUGUUGGUGAUUCAUGAAUACAUUUGACAACCCAAAUACGGGAUUCCAAGCACAAAAGAAAUGAUCUGUCACAUAAACCGCCUGACAGAUGAAAAGGAUUUGCAAGAUAAGCCAGAAGCAUUGGGAAGAUGAGUGUAACAGAGGAGGACGAGCAUGAAAAAGGAGAAUUAGCAAAGACAUGUGCGACGGAGGAAGUGGUCAGAAGAAUCAGAAUACUAUUUUUGAUUAUUGAAGAAGUUUUUGAAUGUAGAAAAAUAAAGGGGUUUUUACAUUGGAAGCACUUAAAACAGUGCUUUUCGUAACCCUCGUCUCCUUCUUUGUAACCCUCUGUAUUUCGCAUUUUCCUUCCCUUUAUUACUUUCAUCUCCUGCGCAUAUCAAGUGAAGCUCAUCAUCUCUCCUUCGCUGUAAGGCUACAGAAACCUCUUUCUUACACCGUUGGACAACUGCUGCAGCCUUGCCAAAUUGCGAUCUUUCCUCCUUCUUUGGACUGGUGCAGACUGGCUUGUCGAAUCAAUGAGGGAUUCUGUGUCUGUCGGACUGAUUCGUUAAAUCAGAACGGCAAGUUCUUGUUGUUGAAAUGUCUUCAAAAGCAAGGAGCAUGAAAAUGAACAUGAUGAGAGUGAGGUUACAGAAAACUUAGUGCAGCUAAUGUGUAGCAUGAUGAUGACUGGUUAUAUGUUUAGGAAUGCACAAUAUCAUUUGGAGUUGCAGCGAAGUGUAGAAAAAAUACACUUUCUGAUGUAAAAGAGGUUUUUCUAGUGUUGAUUGAGCUUACAAAUAAUUAAGCAUCACCCUACUAAAUCUGAUGCUCCAGCAAAGAUUUUCAUUUAUUUUAUCGUGAUUGAAGCUUGGCGUGUCUCGUGAAAAGAGAUGUGAGUGGUCUUAGAGAGGCUCCUAAUAUGGCUCGCCAUGCUAAUGCCCGAGCUAUGAAUAUUGAAGUUGAAAGGACCUUAUCAAAGAACGCCCAUUCGU